rfam:Stegodyphus mimosarum contig70345, whole genome shotgun sequence.
GCCUUCGUGAUGUAAUGGUCAGCAUACUCGGCUCGUAUACGAGAUGUCCGAGGUUCGAGUCUCGACGAGGACA